rnacentral:rRNA from 1 species
AUCGAGCUCGCUCGGCGAGCUUAAUGCACUCAAGUCGAGCAUCUACAGUAUUCGGACUGUAGCUUAGCGGCGUUCCUCGUGAGUAACACGCAGGUAAUCUACCCACCAGAGGAUGCCAUCCUCUGGAAAGUGAGGCUAAACCUUCAUAUGUUCACGCAGUAGGGGAGUUGAGAAGAAAGAGCUACCCACAACGCAGACAACCAAGGAUGAGCCCUUUACCCAUCAUGUAUUUGAAGAGGUAUCGGCUCAUCAAUCUUAAGACGGGUAACCGCUCGGAGAGGAUGUCCCCUCACACUGGGGGUGAGACACGGCCCAUCCCCCACGGGAGGCAGCAGCAGGGAAUCUUGGGCAUCCUCCAAAGCCUGACCCAGGUCAGCCGUUUGGAGGAAGAAGUCCUUUGGGGAGUAAACUCUUGGACUGGGGGUCGAGGAAGUGUCUGUGUCCCAGUAGAAAGGGACCAGCUAAUCAGCUCCAGCAGCCGCGGUAAAAUUUAGGUCCAUUGCCUUGUUCGGAUCCAGAUAGUGUAAAGGGCCAUCCUCAGGUUGUAUGUGUCUCAUGUGAACAAUCAGGGCUCAACUCUGAGAUUGGGUGGGAAACUAGGCAGUUAGAGGACGGUAGAGGGGAGUGGAAUCAGGUUACCCGCGGUAAAGUGCGUAGUUAUCGGGAGGAACCCCGAAGAGUUAGCCGUUCAUGUGGGCCGAUCGAGUCGCAGAGGUUAGAAACGCAGGGGAGGUAACC